UACGAAGGGGGCUAGCGUUGCUCGGAAUCACUGGGCGUAAAGGGUGCGUAGGCGGUUCUUUAAGUCAGGGGUGAAAUCCUGGAGCUCAACUCCAGAACUGCCUUUGGUACUGAGGAUCUUGAGUUCGGGAGAGGUGAGUGGAACUGCGAGUGUAGAGGUGAAAUUCGUAGAUAUUCGCAAGAACACCAGUGGUGAAGGCGGCUCACUGGCCCGAUACUGACGCUGAGGCACGAAAGCGUGGGGAGCAAACAGG
rnacentral:rRNA from 1 species